GGUGCGAUAGUUCAGUUGGUUAGAAUACCGGCCUGUCACGUCGGGGGUCACGGGUUCAAAUCCCGUUCGCACCG
rnacentral:tRNA from 2 species